GAUGAAGAACGUAGUGAAAUGCGAUAAGUAAUGUGAAUUGCAGAAUUCAGUGAAUCAUCGAAUCUUUGAACGCACAUUGCGCCCCCUGGUAUUCCGGGGGGCAUGCCUGUCCGAGCGUCAUUACAACCCUCAAGCUCAGCUUGGUGUUGGGCCCCGCCGCCCCGGCGGGCCCUAAAGUCAGUGGCGGUGCCGUCCGGCUCCGAGCGUAGUAAUUCUUCUCGCUCUGGAGGUCCGGUCGUGUGCUCGCCAGCAACCCCCAAUUUUUUUCAGGUUGACCUCGGAUCAGGUAGGGAUACCAGCUGAACUUAAGCAUAUCAAUAAGCGGAGGA
rnacentral:misc_RNA from 1 species